GUCGAGUUUAUCCUCCAACUCAUCAGGUCUAAGACCAGUUGAGAGGACAACUACAGAGGAGGACCAGGAGUCUGAAUCACAGCUAACCAGAGGUAGAUAAAGGACCUGGACAAAGGACCAUGAGUCUGCCUCAUCACAUCCGAGAAAAGGUCUAAGACCAGUUGAGAGGACAACUACAGAGGAGGACCAGGAGUCUGAAUCACAGCUAACCAGAGGUAGAUCAAGGACCUGGACAAAGGACCAUGAGUCUGCCUCAUCACAUCCGAGAAAAGGAGGGUCAAGACCUGUGAAAAAGAGGACACCUACAGAGGACCAGGAGUCUGAUACAUCACAGCCAGAAGAAAGAAAGAAAAACGAUUCAUCAAGAAAGAAGAGGAAGAUGUGGAGCAAAGAAGAAGUCCAAGCUGUGGAACAGGAGCUGAUGCACAGCAUUAAGACUGGCAAGGUUCCUGGUAAAGCACAGUGUCUUGAAUGUAUCCGUGCAUUUCCAGAGGCACUUAAAGGUAGGACCUGGGAUGCUGUCAAGUACUACGUGAAAAACAGAAUAGACGCUUGGAAGCGGCAGUCAAUGUCACACUAACUGCAAGUUGUUCUUGCUCUUUUGUGUUCGAAAGAGGCAGUUCUAACAGUGACCAUCGUUUGAUCUGAGUCAUAAUUUUUUAUUUAUUUUAAGAGGUACAAUUUGUAUCGGUUGUGCUAAAUUUAAAAAUGUUAUUACCAC
ensembl:lncRNA